rnacentral:lncRNA from 1 species
UGUGUGUGUGUAUGCAUCUGUGUGUGUAUGUGAAUGUGUAUUUGGGCUUCAUCUGCAAUAGCAACUUAAGCUCAGAAUAAGUGAAUGGGUUGUCAAGGUGGACAUUAGCAGUGAGAGACCAAGAGUCUGGACAACAGGGAUUCAGUGAUUGGGCUAGAAGACCCAGUCAUGAAGGUCAUAGUGUGAAAACUUCCAUUUGGAAAUCUGGGAGCAG